AGAAAGUGGCACUGGAACCGAGUGACCACAAAAAACUAACUCUCCUCCGAACACAACACAACAAAGCUCUCACUUUUUAUCAGUUAUCAAAAUCCAACAUAAAACCUCCAUCAAAUCAAACAAUAGAUCUCAUUUACAAAAUCUUUACAAGAAACCCUCUUAAAACGAUCGCCCAAAAAAGUUAAAAAUCAACUCUUUUUUGAUCCAUCGAUACGGAAAAGAGAAAGAAAAGGGCACAAGAUUUAAAGAGAGAUAAAAAGGAAAAAAAAUGCAAAGCGGGGGAUCGAGUAACAAGCUAUCCAGUAUGAUUACUAGGACCAGGAUAUCAUCUAUAUUGCUUUCAAUGUUUACGUAGCUGGCAGGUUAGUGUUCUUAGAUUUUGUAUAUUGACAAUUGUGUUUGAUUCACUGCUAUGUGAUUUUUUUUUUUUGGUAAAAAAAUGAAUUUUUUAACGUUCAAUUUGGUAAAAAUGUGAUUUUUUUUUAUCUGGGCUGGUGAUAGAUUGUGGCAGGAUGCUCAGACCAGAGUUCGUUUGAUUAAAGAGCCGGAUAGAAUCACUGGUCAUGUGAUUUUUUUUUUUUGCUUUUUAAAUUAUUGUCUGGGUGAUUUUGGUUUAGAAAGUUACCUGUCUAAAUGCGGUUAAUCACAAAUUUGAAUUUCACUAGUCAUUUGGUGUAUAUUGUAUAUGACUAUUAAGUGGUUGAUUGAUGUUUAGGGCAAAUCUGCUAUAUCAGUGGAUGAUACUCUGGAAAUCAUAGCAUGCAGGAAAAUAUAAUCCCUGUUGAACAUUCCCAUAAUGCAAUUCAGUAAAGCAUGGAUGGGAACUGGUAAACUAUUUCUUUCUUUCUAUUCCUUGCCUCCUUUUUUCCUAUGUGCAAGAUUGGCUUUGUCCAGGUGUUUUUUUUUUUUUUUGGUGCAUAAACGGCAUUGUUGUAUUCAUUAUAGUUCAUUUGUCCAGUAUUUAGAGUUCCAGAUGCUGAACAGGAUUAAUCACAGGACAUUAACAUAAAUAAAAGAUUUGUUGUAUAGUUACGGGAAUUUAAGGUUAUUAUGUUAAGGUAGAAGUUAGUUUUUAAAGGGAACCCUAAGGAUUACCAGCACAGCACCAUGCUGCAAAAUAUGCUCAUUUGAUAUAGUUAAAAGGUGUAACUUUUCUUUAGGGAAGAGAAGUUUUAUAUCACAUUCAAACUCAUUUAAUAUAUGUUAAUGUUGACAAAUAUUACAUCAAACUGUUAAAAUUUUUAGACAUAAAGUUAUAUGGCGCCAAAGGUAGGGCAGACAAGUGAGUACUCGUUGCUGUUGCUAAAAUGCUUGCAAUGGAGGUGUCAAGUUGUUUACCAGAUUGGAAAGCAAGCUCUGUGGAAACACUAAUUAGAUGCUUUUGUUAGUUUUGUAGGAAGUGUGUUAAGGAAUAUUAAUGGAUAAUUUUACUGUCAUUCAAGAGAAUUACCUAACAAUCUCACACUUCAUGGGCAUUUUCAGACUGAUGCAACAAGCAUUGGUGCAUAAUAUGUCUGAAUUUGUAAAGAAUUGCUCUAGCAUGAUGUAUUUAAUAGUCUACUGGUUAGAUCCUCAGGUUCAGCUAACUCAACCUAAUGAAGGAAAAAACAUUCCUCUUCUUUUUUUGUUCUCUCUAGCCGGGCUAUGCUAAAGGGAUACUACACAUCUACUUGUUGAAAAUCUGUACAAGGCUUCUAGAAAUUGGUGAAAAUUAGUAUAAGACUUUUAGAAAUUUGGUGCCGUCAUUGACAUUUUGAUUUGGUAAUUGCUGACUAUUGACAAAAUGAAAUGGAGGUGGAUGAGUUAGGUGGCUGCCAAACCUAACUUGUGGAAUUUGUUAGCUAACAAUUGGCUAUAAAAAGGGAGCCAUGCAAAUGAGUUUUGCAUCUCAUUUUGAGUGCAUCCGAGAGUUUAUAAAAGAGAGAAAAUAAGUUUCUCUUUAUAAUAAUUUGUUUUCAAUAUUUAUAUAUGAGAGUGUGUGUAAUAAAUUGGGUCUUGGGUAGUGAUGAAUUUAUCUCAAAAUACUUGUAAUUCUCCCUGUAUAGUGAAAAAAUUAUCCUUUUUGUAAGAGUCUUGUUCACCCUCUUUGUCACUCCAUUUUGUUGGGGAGUGUAUGCCACCGUGAACUGCCUCUGAAUACUUUCUUGCUUACAGAAAGCAAGAAACUCGCCGUCUGUAUACUCUCCACCAUUAUUUGUCCUCAACCACUUGAUCUUUUCCUGGAUUCAAGUUCUACCCGCGUUUUGUAUUGUUUGAAUACUGGAAACACAUCUGACUUUUUCUUGAUUGGAUACACUCAACGUUUCCUAGAAUAAUCAUUAAUAAAAGUCACCAAGUACUUUACUCCUCUCAUGGAUAUAUCCGGUGAUUCUCAAACAUCAGAAUGAACCAAGUCUAUAAUACAUUUACUUCUGGAAACAGAUCUGCUAAAUUUUAAUCUAUUCUGCUUACUUGUAAUACAAUGCUCACUGAAUGGUAAACUUAGUGAUUUGAGUCCCGGAAGUAAGUUCCGCUCAGAGAGAAUUUUCAAACCUUAUUCCACAUGUGGCCAAGUUUGAGAUGUCUUAUCAUCGUCGACUCUUCUCCAUUUAAUGCGACACACGCAUCAGUUUUCCUGUAGUGUUUCAUCUUUAAGCAUGAAUAGCUUCGCACCGAUCUUUUCUGCCUUCAUUAAUACAAGCGCGUCUUUAACAAUCUUCAUGAUCUCAUUUUCUACAUGAGUUUUAUACCAACGACUAUCCAUUUGUCCUAAAGACAAUAAAUUCUUCCUCAAGCCUUUGACAUGUCGUACCUCCUCAAUUGUGCGAAUUGUACCAUCAAACAUUUUUAUAUUGGUUGUACUAAUACCAUCGAUCUCUAAGGCAUAAUCAUCACCCAUAUAUACAGAUCCUCCUGAGAUAGAUUUAAUGUGUAGAACCAUUCUCUCCGAAAGGUCAUGUGCCAGGUGGCUCCUGAGUAUAUAAGUCAGACGUCAGAUAACCGUUUUCUGCCUUCUAAACCAGUUGUUGCCUCGCUGUAGAUAAUUUCGCCAUCAUCCGAGGUACUUGCUACACACCUCUGAGCAUUUGAUGACUCAGGUUCUUUGCCCUCUCAUCUCUUCUGGCUGUUCCAACACUCUUUCUUGACGUGCCCUUUUUUGCCACAGUUGUAGCAUUUAACAUUUUUCUUACUUUUGGAUUUUGAUCUACCAUGAUUGUGACUCCCAUUGGGGCCACGUUCCGUUGAUCUCCCUCUCGUCACUGAUAACGCUUCUGCCUGCUGCGAACUUACCAGUAUGUCUUCCUUGUUUUUUCGCCUACUUUCCUCAUUUAAUACGGAGGUUGCAACAUCGUCGAAAAUUAGACUGUUCAUUGAAUUGUUGUUCGUCAGGUUAAUGAUGAGUUAAUCAUAUGAAUCUAGUAGACUUUGAAGUAGAAGUUCCGCAUGUUCAUUUUCCUCUAUAUUAUGACCCAACGUUGUGAGUUGUGAAAAUAUAGUUUUCAAGGUGUUGACGUAGUCAGUUUAAGGAUGGCAAAAACCGGGUCCGGGUCCGGGUCUGGCCUUUCCGGUUCCGGACCCGGAUGCCAAUUCUCCUUCCCGGAUCCGGAUAUAAACCCGCAUUUUCUUUCUCCGGGUCCGGUACGGAUUCAACCCGGAAAAAUUCGGGUUUCCGGAUUGCGGGUUUUGAACCCGGAAACUUGGAGGCUGGAAUAAUAAAGCCUUUGUGCAUGCCCCUUUUGACUCUGUACAAGAGUGGAUUAGCGGUUUAUUUGAGGUGUUGGUUGAGACACCGGCGAGUCCAAGAGGCAGUAGCCAUGAAAGCAGUGAGCAAGGUUUGAGAUCCAGCAUCCACGAACAAGAGAGAGAUGAGAUCGAGCGCCAACAAGAGUAGAUUAGCAGUUUCUUUAAGGUGUCGGUUGAGGCACCAGCGAAUCGAGGAGGUGGCAGCCAUGAGAGUAGCGAGCAAGGUUUGAGAUCCAGUAUCCAAGAACAAGAGAGAAAUGAGAUCGAAUUUGAUGAGAGAUGAGAGAUAAGGUUGAAUUUGAUGGUGCCAAAGAUUGUUUGUUGCUUUUGAUGAUGAUCGAUGAUGAAUUGACAAUGAUUUAAAUUGAUGUUGAGGAUGAUAUUGAUUGUUAUUAUUGUUGAUAAUGAAUUGACGAUGGGUGGAUGAUGAUGAAUUGAAUUGAUGUUGAGGAAGAGGAAAAUAAAGGUGGCGGUUGGGGUGGGGAUUUAGGGUUUCUUUUCGUUUCUUUCCUUUUUUUUUUUUUACUUUUGGCUUUUAUAUUUAUAUUUAAUAAUAAAAAUUAAUUAAUUAAUUAAUUAUUAAUAUUUUAGUGCGCGUCCGGGUUUUCGGAAUCCGGGUUCGGUUAAACCCGCAACCGGACCCGCAUGUAUCUGGGUUUGAAAAAAUGCUACCCGGAUCCUCAUUUUUAUGCACCCGGGGUGGGUUUAACCCGGACCGGAUCGUCCGGGUUUAUCCGGGUCCGGGCCGGGUCCUGAAAAAUUUACCAUCCCUAAGUUAGUUACUAAUAUAGAUUCCACCAUUCGAAGGGUAUAGAGUUUUCUUUUUAAGAAGAUCUUGUUGUGCAGCGUUUUGGCCUCUUACAAUUUUGUAAGAGUAUCCCAUACUUUCUUUGCUAUCUUUUUCUCUGUCACAUUAGAUAAUACUCUAUCUGCAAGUGCCAAGUGUAGAUAAAAAAUGGUGUUGCCGUCUAUCUCGUUCUAUUUGUCAUCAAUUAUCUCUAUGGGCCUUUCUCCAAUUGCUGCCAAGCAAUUAUUUUUCCUCAAUACAACUUUUAUCUUCAUUUUCCACAACGAAAAAUUAUUUCCGUUGAACUUCUCAAUUUCGUAUUUUCCCGCCAUCGCUUUUCACCACAAAUUAACUUUGCUAGGAUCAGCUUCCACCGUUUCACGUGAACAGUAAUCGUAUACGGGAACAGUACUGUAUACGUGAAUAGUACUUUUACCUUAACAGUACCACAGACUCCAAAAAAUACAACCAGUUGCUUUGAUACCACUAUUAAGAAUUUGAUGGGUAAAGCAGACCACAGCUAACAUGAAANNNNNNNNNNNNNNNNNNNNNNNNNNNNNNNNNNNNNNNNNNNNNNNNNNNNNNNNNNNNNNNNNNNNNNNNNNNNNNNNNNNNNNNNNNNNNNNNNNNNUCGUCACACAAGAGGACACCGUAGUUUACGUGGUUUGACUUUUUAGCCUAAGUUCACAGGUAAAGAUAAAAAGAUAAAAUUUUCACUAUAUAGGAAGAAUUACAAGUAUUUUGAGAUAAAUUCCUCACUAUUCAAAACACAAUUUGUUACACCCACACUCUCAUAUAUAAAUAUUGAAAACAAAUGCUUACAAAGAGAAACUUAUUUUUCUCUCUUUUAUAAGCUCUUGGAUGCACUCAAAAUGGGAUGCAAAACUCAUUUGCAUGGCUCCCAUUUUAUAGCCAAUUGUUGGCUAACAAAUUCCACAAGUUAGAUUUGGCAACCACCUAACUUAUCCACCUCCAUUUCAUUUUGUCCAUAGUCGGCAAUUACUAAAUCAAAAUGUCAAUGACGGCACCAAAUUUCUAAAAGUCUUGCACUGAUUUUCAACAAUUUCUAGAAGUCUUGUACUAAUUUUCAACAAUUCUCCCACUUGGAGAUUUGAUGAUUUUCAACAAUUCUCCCACAAGUUAGGUGGCUACCAAACCUAACUUGUGUAAUUUGUUAGCCAACAAUUGGCUUUAAAAGGGAAGCCAUGCAAAUGAGUUUUGCAUCUCAUUUUGAGUGCAUCCGAGAGCUUAUAAAAGAGAAAAAAAUAAGUUUCUCUUUAUAAGCAUUUGUUUUCAAUAUUUAUAUAUGAGAGUGUGGAUGUAAUAAAUUGGGUUUUGGGUAGUGAGGAAUUUAUCUCAAAAUAUUUAUAAUUCUCCCUAUAUAGUAAAAAAAUUAUCCUUUUUAUUUUUACAUGUGGACGUAGGCUAAAGAUCGAACCACAUAAACUACGGUGUCCUGUUGUAUGCUUAUUCUUCAUUUUUCUUCCAAUUUCAUUUUAGUUGUGGCCCUACUUCACUCAUCAAUUUCCUAACACUACUUUCACUUUUAAUUUCUCUUUGCUGUUAAAGAAAUAGAAAAUUAAAGAACUACAAAAGAAAUAAUCGGUAGCCUCAAUGUGAUUCUGCAGAGUGCAAAUGAGACCAGUAUUCCUUUACUAGCUGCCCGAAGAGUGAACCUUCCCUCUUCAUUAACUCCAUUGGCUCAUCACACUCCGCUAGUUUACCUGAACAUAGCAGAUUACCCACUUCUUUUAGUUAAUUGAAGAACAUAGAGAUGGAAUUAGUGAAAUGAACUCGUUAGAAUGAGAAAAUAUGCAGAGGCACCCAGGAAUCCAUAAAUGAGUUAUUGUUAAUACACACAAACACACACACGUGUGUGUGUGUGAGAGAGAGAGAGAGAGAGUUAUAGAUUUUCAAUGAAGCUAAUAAAUAAUGAAACUCACCAUCACUAAUGGCAAGUACCAUAGUGCAAUCCAUCACCAUUGGAAUCCUGUGAGCUACCGUGAUAACAGUGCAAUCAGCAAAUUCUGCACGAAUAGUUUUCUGCAGAAUCAUGUCAGUUGCAUUAUCAAUUGAUGCAGUUGCUUCGUCAAGCACCAAUAUGCGGCUUCUCCUCAAAAGAGCACGGCCCAAACAGAACAGUUGCCUUUGCCCCAUGCUCCAGUUUGAUCCGUCUUCCACAACUGGAAAUACCGGACUUCAGUUAAUACCAAAAUGGAAAAUAAAUUCCCAAAAUCUACAUAUUGUUAGAAUACUCACCUAAGGAGUCUAGGCCAUUUUCUUUCUCGCGGACAGCCUCUCCAAGAUGACACUUUGCAAGAACCUACACAAUUGUAGAGCAAAAAAUAAAAAUGCAGUGGCAAACAGAGAAACUAUUACCAGAUAAAAGAAUCUCCCAACCAGCCAGCAACCGCAUGGAAAAAAUCAAUUGAAAUUUACCUCCCAUAUUUCCUGGUCUGUAUGUUGCGACAAGGGAUCCAAAUUAUAUCUCACGGUCCCAUUGAAAAGUGUAGGAUCCUGAGGAAUUAUUCCAAAACGCGACCUAAGAUCGUGAAGUCCAAGCUUAGAAAUGUCAAUACCGUCUACUAAAAUUUUCCCUCCGGCUGGCUCGACCAGACGAAAUAAAGCACCUAUGAAUGUAGUCUUCCCACUGCCAGUUCGACCAACAAUACCAAUUUUGUGCCCUCCUUCAAAUGUGCAACUGAUACCCUUAAGGACGAGUGGUGAAUCGGGCCUAUACCUGAUCUGUUUGCGAAUCAUUGCUCUCAGCAUGGUAACCAUCGUAGAUCAGAAUAAUAGUAAAAUAAAUAAAUUAAAAUAAACAAAAUACCUGCAAAUCACAGAUAUCCACUUUACCAACAACCGGCCAAUUGGGUCGGGGGCGGUUGUCUUCUACUACCUCAGGGGCUUCACUUGGUACAUGCAUGUAUUGGUUAAGUCUUUCUACAGAUAUGAUAUAAUUUGCUAGAGUACACUGGUUUUGGAUUGACAUUACUAGGGAACUGUUUAAUGAAAGACCAUAAGAAAGGGCCAUUCCAAUAAAUCCUGAAAAUAACACAAGUAAUUAUUAUUACUGUAUCCUACAUAAGAAGAGCUAAGUAUAUUAAAAAAUUAUUUCGAAGUUCUAAUGCAUAUUCCUAAGAAUUUCCUGAAGUAGCAAUGAGUCUCCAAUGAAAUUAAUUUACUCACCAGGGGUAAAAGUUCCAGGAGGAAGCAAAACCAUGCAGAAUGCUGCCGAGGAUAUAACAGUUGCACUGAGUGUUUCUAGGCGUUGGAUCAACCACUCAUUUGCUGCAAAACUAUGGAAGAAAUGACUGGCAUUGGUAUCAAUGAGGUCAAGGUCUUUGCAAAAAACCGGUCUUCUCUCAAAAGCCCUAAUUGUCAUGGCUCUGCUAUAGACUCAGCUAGAUGAUUUGCUACCAAGGACUUGGUUGUGCCGUUAAGCCGCAUCAAUUCUUUUGCAGUAACAAAAUAGUAUCUCUGCGAAGAAACAAAAGCAAAUAUAAAAUUUACUCGUUAGUUCAACACCCUCCCAUCCCUGCUUCAAAUUCCAAAAUAUGCACAGGGUGUAGUUUUGGUAAUUCAUGUAUUCAUGCAACAAUAUUCACAUCACAUGGCUAAAAUGGUAGCUUUUUCCAUGGAAGAUGAAGGAAAACUGCCUCUUACCCAUGAAAACAGAAACUUUGCAUAAUAUUACCUGCAAGCGAAUUGCCAAGAAAAUCACUGGUAUGGAAACGAAUAGGACUUGCCAUGUGACAACAGCAAGUACUCCUAGAUUACUACAAGCAUUUGUGGUAGCCCCGACAGCAAAGAUUAAACUGAAUGGAAUAUCUAGGUCGACAAUACUCAGAUCAGAAGAAACCUGUAUCAGGACAAAAUUUUGAUAAUAAGAAGCAGAAAUAUCAGUCUUAUCAAUCCCUUUCAGAGAAACAAACAGUUUACGAUGAAGAUGCAUACCCGACUAAGUAUCCUUCCAAGAGGUGUAGAGUCAUAAAAAGACAUAGGUGCACGGAAAAGGGAAUUUAAAAGCUGUGAGAACAAAGAUUUUGAUGAUCUAAUACCUAAAACAACACUAGAGAGAGAUCUAGACAUCAGGAAUAGUGUUGAGACAAAUCCAAUCAACAAGUAAACCACUAUCAGCCGUAAUGUGCUGACAUUAGGAUUUUCUACAUUGGCAGCCAGCCAAGAGUUCUGCAAUAUCUGACCAAUCACAAAUGUAAGGUGAGAGAGGCUGGCUAUGGAGAAGAACAAAAAGCCUUUGUUCUGAUUAAGAUAUCGUAUGUAUGGCUUUAACCCUAUGUCCCCUGUUUCUCUUUCUUCUUGUUUAAUCAGCUGAUCACCUUUGGAUACUUCAAAUUGUUUCUCUACAUGACCCUUCUUGAUCUCCUUAGCAGGCAUUCCACUUUUCUGGGAAGGAGUGACCUCAGCAAGUCUCUCAGAACCAGCGGUUUCUUUGUGUGCGUUGACAAGUUCCUGAAAUUCUUUGCUUGAG
rnacentral:lncRNA from 1 species